rnacentral:tRNA from 1 species
GCCUGGCUGGCUCAGUUGGUAGAGCAUGGGGCUCUUAAUCUCAGGGUGAUGAGUUCAAGCCCCACAUUGGGCA